ACUAAAAAAGAAUAAUGUAAAAAAAACGAUGUAUGGUGUAACUAUAGUACUUGUAUGCCUGUAUAUAUGUAUUAAUUUUUUUUACUUUUACCCAACUGAAGACUCAGUCAGUGAAAGUGUACCGUCAACAGUGUCUAUGGCCCUUUCAUGCAUUCACACACACACACACACACACAAAAAAUAGAAGAAUACAAAUGCUUUGUCAUUCAUACCAAAAAAAACCAUGGAGAGGCAAUCUUGUAUAAUCUAAAAGUUCAGAGGUAGAAAAUAACACACAACACAGAGAGAGAGAUAUGGCUGCGGAGGCUGUCUACUUUCUACUCAAUAAACUUGAAAUUUGGCUAGAGGCAGAAUGGAACUUGCCAGCAAAGAUUAAUAUGGGCGUUGAAAGCUUGAGAGGUGAAUUCGAAACCAUUAGCGCACUUCUGAAGGAUGCUGAUACAAAAAGAGAGCACAAUCACCAAGUCAGUGUCUGGCUUCAACAAGUCCGAGAUGGAGCUUAUGACAUAGAGGAUGUUCUUGACAUUUUAAAGUUUCACAUGGCUCAACAGUAUAUUAUCCGCAACCUUGGGUUCCUCACCCGAUGGAGAGCACGCCACUCCAUCAACGAAGUAAUUGAAGAGAUUGAUAUGAAACUCAGAAGCAUCAAAGAGUCAAGGGAGAGAUAUCAUAACAUCAGUUCCUCCCAAACCUCAAGUUCAAUUACUCGAAACGACACAUUCCUUCAUCCAAGAAUAGCUUCUCUGUUUGCCGAGGACACUGAUAUUGUGGGGAUUGAAGAACCUAAGCAGAAACUGGUUUCUUGGGCACUAGGAGGGAGGCAUAGUCUCGAGGUGAUGUUUGUAGUUGGGAUGGGAGGAUCGGGCAAAACAACUCUUGUUAAGAAAGUGUUCGAGAGGGUGAAGGAUGAAGGAUUUGAGUGCCAUGCUUGGAUCACUGUUUCAAGGUCAAGAAAGGAACCGGAGAUCUUAUGGAGGAUGUUCAACGAAUUCUGCAUUCAAACAGUCGAGUCAACUCCCCAGAGGUUCUCCAACAUCAACGAGAUUGACCUGGUUGACAUAACCAAAAAACUAAGGGAGCAUCUACAAAACAAAAGGUACGUUGUAGUCCUUGAUGAUCUGUGGAUUAAAGAUGUUUGGGAAACCAUUAGAAUUGCAUUACCUGGAGGUAAUCACAGUAGAAUAAUUGUCACUACGCGAAGAGGCGAUAUAGCUUGUUCAUGUAGAGAUAACUCUAUUGGUGUCCAUAACAUCCAGCCUCUUCCUAUGGAAAAGGCUCAACAACUCUUUUAUAAGAAGGCUUUCCCAGAAAGGGGUACAUGCCCUUUAGGGUUGGAGGGCUGGUCCCAAAUAAUCUUAACAAAAUGCGAAGGAUUGCCACUUGCAAUCAUUGAACUAGGUCAAAUUCUGUCAAAUAGAGAGAAAUCUGAAUCAGUAUGGAAAAGAUUGCUUGAAAGCCUUGGAUCGGAGUUGAGCAGAAAUGGCCGUCUUUCAAAUACCAUGAGAGUACUAUCUCUAAGUUACAUUGACUUGCCAUACCAUCUCAAGUAUUGUUUUCUAUACUUAACCAUUUUCCCUGAGAAUAAUUAUCUAGUUAGGUGUAGAGUAUUGAUUCGGCUGUGGAUUGCAGAGGGUUUUAUAAUAGCACAAACUGGCAAAGAACUUGAAGACAUUGGAGAGGAGUACCUAAAAGAACUUACCGACAGGAACUUGAUACAAAGUGAAUUAGAUUUUGAUGGGAAGCCAAAAACUUGUCGGGUACAUAAUCUCAUGCAUAAGAUUAUUCUCUCAAAGUCAAGAGAGGAGAAUUUUUGUAAAGUAUUUUCAGAAUCACAAAGAAACUUUGGUGACAGGUACCGUCGAUUAUCUAUCCAAAGUGGUGCACUCAAAAUGUUGCAUAGGAACUUUAAUCGUGUUCGCACCCUUUUUAUGUUCAAUGUACCCUACAGCUCCGUUACAGACUUGAAAUUAUUGAGAGUUCUUCAUCUGGAAGGAGCACCAUUGGAGACAUUUCCUAAGAAAAUUGUGAAUUUACUGCUCUUGAAGUAUCUGUGUUUGAGUAAGACCAAUAUCAAAAGCAUUCCCAAGUCUCUGGGGAAUCUUAGGUACUUAGAGACCUUGGAUCUUAAGCAAACUAGAGUGGUAAAGCUGCCCAAAGAAGUCCUCAAACUUGAGAAACUUCGGCAUUUGAUUGUUUGUCGCUAUGAUAUACAACAUUAUACCACUUUUGAUUGUGUUAAAGGAUUCGAGGUAUCAGCAGAGAUCCAGACACCUAAUUUACAGCAACUAUCAUUCAUAAAGGCAAAUAAGCAUCACAAAGUGAUUCACGGGCUAGGAAAUCUGACACAACUAAGAAAGUUGGGGGUCAUUGAUCUUCCAAGAGAAGAUGGGUCAAAAUUGUGCGAGUCAAUUGAGCAGCUGCGAAACCUCUAUUCCUUGAAUGUAACAUCAUUACAAAAGGAUGAGGCUGUAGAUCUACAAGCAAUUACCAAUCCUCCACCACUUCUUCAACGCCUGUAUCUGAAAGGGCGGUUAGAAAGGUUACCAAUUUGGAUUUCCAGACUUCAUGACCUCGUAAGGAUACAUCUCAAGUGGUCCAAGUUAACACACUACAACAACCCCAUUGAUAUCCUUCAAGAUCUUCCUCGCCUUUUGGAGCUCCAGCUGGUCGAUGCCUAUACUGGAAACCAGUUAGAUUUCUCAAAAAACAAAUUUCAAAGUCUGAAGAUCUUGGAACUUGAGCAAUUGGAACCAUUGACAAUGGUCAAAAUGCAAAAGACUACCUUACCUCGUCUCCAAAAGCUGAUCAUAAGGCAGUGCGGUAACUUGCAUCAGGUUCCAUUGGGAAUUGACAACCUCACUCACCUCAAAGAGCUUCACUUGUAUGAUAUGCCCAACAGAUUUGUGGCCCAGCUCAAGAAUGGUGGAGCAUUGUGUAAUCUGGUUCGCCAUAUCCCAAACAUCCAAUGUUAUUACCUCGAGAGGAAUUGGGUGCCAGAAGAUCUCAAUCUCAUGGCUCAUCCUAUCUGAUUCGUAGUCCGAGUCUACAGUGGGAGCACGUACACAGUGAUCAGGUCAGCAUAACCACAAUCCAGUUAGGGUAAGGAUUCACGCAAUGGUGGUUUUUAUAUCAAAGUACGUUUUAUCCGCUUCACACACUCGGUGCUUAGUUUGAUUAACCAAAUUUAUUCCACAGGGUGAGAAAAAUGCAAAAGGCAGGUAUUCUCCAUUGUAGAUGAUGGAUGUGAUGCAUUUUCAUAUAACCGAGAUGAUGCCAAUAAAUCAGAAACAGAGACAACAGACAAAUGAAAAGUUGUGGCACCACUCAAUGAUGUAUAAGAUCUAGCUAAUAACAAUUAAAUGAUAUUUCAUUGUUGAACUUCUUAAAUUUAUUGUAUUUGGAUUACGGACGACUGUAAUUGAUUUGGGUUUGGAGUCCUCUGUCUUCUUUGAAUAGAGGUUUGGAGUCAUUUUUGGUGUAAACUGAUUGUUCACUUUGGAUGAUUCAUUAAUCAAAGUUAUUUUUCAUCAAAA